rnacentral:rRNA from 1 species
CAAUAGCGUAUAUUAAAGUUGUUGCGGUUAAAACGCUCGUAGUUGGAUUUCUGUUGAGGGCAGCCGGUCCGCACUUCGUGCGUGUAUCUGGUUUGACCACGGCAUCCUCUCAAAAUACGUUUCUGCGCUUGAUUGCGUGGAGCGGAGUUUGAGACUUUUACUUUGAGGAAAUUAGAGUGUUCACGGCAGGCAAUCGCCUUGAAUAUAUUAGCAUGGAAUAAUAAUAUAGGAUCUUGGUUCUAUUUUGUUGGUUUCUAGAGCUAAGAUAAUGAUUAAUAGGGACAAUUGGGGGCAUUCGUAUUAACGCGUCAGAGGUGGAAUUCUUGGAUUGCGUUACGACGAACUACUGCGAAAGCAUUUGCCAAGGAUGUUUUCAUUG